AGUACAGUCCAAGGGACCUUGAUCAUCUGGACAUUCCUUUAAACGUUGAGCUGGUCCACCAUAUUGAUGAGAUGAUACUGUGUUAAUUCAACCUGAGGAGCAAGAAGGGGCAAAUUCUAUGAACGCUUAGGCAAGAAACACUGACGCCUGAGGUUAGAAGGGAUUUGGAAGGUCUUGUAGCCAGCAGAGAAAGGAAGACAUUAAUAGCGGGAGCUGCGGCAUCUAGCAGCAGGGACUCUAAGGAGUGUAUGUUAGAACUGGGAGGAGGAGAAAGAAAAUUCGGAAAUCUGCAGCUGUGUCUCCAUUGUCUUGACCAAUAUUCCAAUUAUCUACUCGGAUCUGCUGCAGUGGUGAAAGACAAAGACAAAACACGCUUUCAGCCUGUGCUCACUCAGUGGUGGAACAGAUGGUGCACAAUUCGGGCAUGCAACUCCACAUAUGAGAAAUGCUUUACGAAUGCCACACAUCUCUGUUAUGUAGCAAUGACUGCAUGCCAGGACAACAUUCUACUCCAGAAGGUCCAUGCCAACACAAUAAAGAAGGGAAAUGACAUCUUACUUGUUGGAGUAAAGAAACUGCCAUGCAAACAAUAACAACAGUCAAGUAAGCAGAGAAGCGAUUAAGUAGGAAGAGUUCAUUCUAGCUGACUGACCGUGGUGGACCUAUGAACAUGACUAUGACGUCUCACCCAGACAAAAGGAAACUUUGUUUGAAAUGACGGGGCCAAGUUUCUGCUGUAAAAGUCUUUUUAUAACCAGCUGUCUUUCUACUAUUUAUUACCAGAAAAUGCCAGAGUGAUUCAAUUUCUUUGUUGGUAUCCUUACUAACUUUCAACUCGGGUGCAGCAGAAACUAUUCUGGACUAUUCAGUUUCACAUUCUUAUGUGUGGAGCUACACAUGUAGAAUGAAAAGGCCCAUUUCUCUAUGUCCGUUAUAUUUUUUAAAGAAAUUCUUUGCCUAGAGGUUCAAGAUGACUGAACUGCAACAAUGGAUUUUAAAACAUUUGGACAUUUUUCUGCUGAGUGGGUCCAGAACAAUAAGGGACAAUCUUGAUGGACAUCAGUUUCUCUGUGUUGGUUUCAAGUAUCAUCCUUUUUCUAAGUUUUUUGUGUUGCUUAAGUACUUCGAGAGUUUUUCUUACAUUGGGAGGUUUUCUAUUCUUAAGAGUGAUAAUUCUUCAGGUAAAAAUAUCCUUGAAAAAAAGAUAACCAAAUUGCUGAGUCAAGAUUUAAUCAAUCAAGUAUAACAUGGUAAUUUACUGAAUCAAAUAGGUGACAUUCAUUAGCAAGUUGAAAAAACUAAAUGUAAAGGUGAAGACAUUUGGACAAUAAGAAAGUAUUUGUGUUCAUACAUUUUAUGUUAAAUAAAUAAAAUCUUUCAA